UGAGGCAAGUGGAUGGCCGCUGGCAGAAGGUUAAGCCAACUGACAGAGGAAAGUCCGGACUUCACAAACAGGGCAGUGGGUAAUGCCCACCAAGAGUGAUCUUAGGGAAAGUGCCACAGAGACAAUACUAUCUGCUUAAAGCAGAGAAAGGUGAAAAGUUGGCUGGUGUUAUAGUUAGCAAAAAGCUAACGAUAGCUACGGUCGGCGACCCUCGGUGACGGGGUGUUCGUGGUAAACCCUGCCUGAAGCAAGAGCAAACUACUCCCUCGGGGGUAAGGAAAGUAGCUCGCCAGACCCUAUGAGUAAUUAUAGGGCUAGACAGAUGGUCAUCGUCUGUCCCGCCGAGCGGGGCGGAUACAAAAUCCGGCUUAUAGCUGGCCUCAAAGU
rnacentral:RNase_P_RNA from 1 species